UACGAAGGGAGCUAGCGUUGUUCGGAAUCACUGGGCGUAAGACGCACGUAGGCGGAUUUGUCAGUCAGGGGUGAAAUCCCGGGGCUCAACCUCGGAACUGCCUUUGAUACAGCAAGUCUUGAGUUCGAGAGAGGUGGGUGGAAUUCCUAGUGUAGAGGUGAAAUUCGUAGAUAUUGGGAAGAACACCGGUGGCGAAGGCGGGCGCCUGGUCCGUGACUGACGCUGAGGCGCGAAAGCGUGGGGAGCAAACAGG
rnacentral:rRNA from 1 species